rnacentral:rRNA from 1 species
CUACGGGACGCACCAGGGAAUCUUCCGCAAUGGACGAAAGUCUGACGGAGCAAUACCGCGUGUAGGAUGACACCCCUAGGGGCGUAAACUACUUUUCUGAAGGAAUAAGUUCUGAAGGUACUUCAGGAAUAAGCACCGGCUAACUACGUGCCAGCAGCCGCGGUAAUACGUAGGGUGCAAGCGUUAUCCGGAAUUACUGGGCGUAAAGCGUCUGUAGACGGCUUGAAAAGUUGGAUGUAAAAAUUGAGGGCUCAACCCUCAAAGCGUAUCCAAAACUAUCAGGCUAGAGGAAUGGAGAGGUAAGUGGAACUCUGCAAGUAGGGGUUAAAUCCGUAGAUCUGCAGAAGAACACCAAAAGCGAAGGCAGCUUACUGGCCAUUUCCUGACGUUGAGAGACGAAAGCGUGGGGAGCAAACAGGAUUAGAUACCCCAGUAGUC